UAAGACGGAGGGUGCAAACGUUGUUCGGAAUCACUGGGCAUAAAGAGCACGUAGGCUGCGCGCUAAGUCAGGUGUGAAAUCCCCCGGCUCAACCGGGGAACUGCACCUGAUACUGGCGUGCUCGAGGACGGUAGGGGUGAGUGGAACUCCAGGUGGAGCGGUGAAAUGCGUAGAUAUCUGGAGGAACACCGGUGGCGAAAGCGGCUCACUGGACCGUCUCUGACGCUGAGGUGCGAAAGCUAGGGUAGCAAACGGGAUUAGAUACCCCGGUAGUCCUAGCCGUAAACGAUGGGCACUAGGCAAUGGGGUUACCUAUGGACCUCCUUGCCGGAGCUAAUGUAUUAAGUGCCCCGCCUGGGGAGUACGCUCGCAAGGGUG
rnacentral:rRNA from 1 species